GCGCCCGUAGCUCAGGGGUAGAGCAUCCGCCUUUUAAGCGGGUGGCCGAGCGUUCGAAUCGCUCCGGGCGCA
rnacentral:tRNA from 1 species